rnacentral:rRNA from 1 species
CUUUCAGUUGGAACGAAACGGUACGCUCUAACAUAGCGUGCUAAUGACGGUACCGACAGAGAAGCACCGGCUAACUACGUGCCAGCAGCCGCGGUAAUACGUAGGGUGCGUAGCGUUAAUCGGAAUUACUGGGCGUAAAGCGUGCGCAGGCGGAUUGUUAAGCAAGAUGUGAAAUCCCCGGGCUUAACCUGGGAAUGGCAUUUUGAACUGGCAGUCUAGAGUGCGUCAGAGGGGGGUGGAAUUCCACGUGUAGCAGUGAAAUGCGUAGAUAUGUGGAGGGAACACCAAUGGCGAAGGCAGCCCCCUGGGAUGACACUGACGCUCAUGUACGAAAGCGUGGGUAGCAAACAGGAUUAGAUACCCUGGUAGUCCACGCCCUAAACGAUGUCAACUGGUUGUUGGGGGAGUGAAAUCCCUUAGUAACGAAGCUAACGCGUGAAGUUGACCGCCUGGGGAGUACGGUCGCAAGGCUA